rnacentral:sRNA from 1 species
AGAUCUAGACUUCGUGAAACCGUGCUGAU